GACGAACGCUGGCGGCGUGCUUAACACAUGCAAGUCGAACGGAAAGGCCCUGCUUUUGUGGGGUGCUCGAGUGGCGAACGGGUGAGUAACACGUGAGUAACCUGCCCUUGACUUUGGGAUAACUUCAGGAAACUGGGGCUAAUACCGGAUAGGAGCUCCUGCUGCAUGGUGGGGGUUGGAAAGUUUCGGCGGUUGGGGAUGGACUCGCGGCUUAUCAGCUUGUUGGUGGGGUAGUGGCUUACCAAGGCUUUGACGGGUAGCCGGCCUGAGAGGGUGACCGGGCACAUUGGGCUUAGGUUACGCCCAGGACCCAUACGGGGGCAAGGGUGGGGAAUUAGUCACAAGUGGGCGGAGGCAGAUGGAACCACCGCGGGGGCGGGGAUCCCGGCUUUGGGGUUGAAAACGUGUUUCCCUUUGAAAAAAGGGUGGGGGCGGUAAAUGGGAAAAGGACCACGGCUAACUACGUG
rnacentral:rRNA from 1 species